rnacentral:rRNA from 1 species
GACGAACGCUGGCGGCGUGCCUAAUACAUGCAAGUAGAACGCUGAAGGAGGAGCUUGCUUCUCUGGAUGAGUUGCGAACGGGUGAGUAACGCGUAGGUAACCUGCCUGGUAGCGGGGGAUAACUAUUUGAAACGAUAGCUAAUACCGCAUAAUAGUAGAUGUUGCAUGACAUUUGCUUAAAAGGUGCAAUUGCAUCACUACCAGAUGGACCUGCGUUGUAUUAGCUAGUUGGUGAGGUAACGGCUCACCAAGGCAACGAUACAUAGCCGACCUGAGAGGGUGAUCGGCCACCCUGGGACUGAGACACGGCCCAGACUCCUACGGGAGGCAGCAGUAGGGAAUCUUCGGCAAUGGACGGAAGUCUGACCGAGCAACGCCGCGUGAGUGAAGAAGGUUUUCGGAUCGUAAAGCUCUGUUGUAAGAGAAGAACGAGUGUGAGAGUGGAAAGUUCACACUGUGACGGUAUCUUACCAGAAAGAGACGGCUAACUACGUG